CGCAGAAGGCACGCAGUGGUUUUUCAUUGUUCCUAUAUGCAGACCUUAUUGACAAAAAAGGGCAGAAUGGAUAGCUUUAAUACAGAAGAUGAUGUGAUAUAUCAGUCAAGCUUUAGGGGGAGGGGAACAACGGACUGUUACAUCAGCGAGAUGGCCUCAUUUUUACUCCGAAUUAAACUGAUAUUAUGAACUGGGUGGUUCGAGCCCUGAAUGCUGGUUGGCUGACAGCCACGGUAUAUGAGACCGUAUACCACGGGCUCCCUUCUUGUGGACCUCCUCUACCCCUUCCCUUUUGCCUGCUUUCUCAAGGUUCAUGGAGGUUGUCUGUAGUUUUUUUUCGCCAAGCCUUGGGUUAUGCAACAGUCUUCUUUGAAACCCACAAAGGGAGGUCCUGUUCGCUUGGCUUGUCUCUAGAACUCAGCCUAGAAUACUCCAUUUUCACCCGUUUCCUUUUCAAACGACUUACCAUAUCACUCUGCUGAGGACCAGUCCAUGAUGCCCAGAAUCUUAAAUAUGCUACAGCGGACACUUACUGUAUAGUUCUCUGGUUUUCAGCCAUUACUUUUUACUUCACCAGUCAUUGUAAUUGAGAAUAUGAAUGUGAAAGUCAAAAUCUAGCAAAUGAGAACAUGUGUAGUCGAACAUAUUCCUUGACUCAUGAUUUGUAAUGAAACUGCUUAUUGCCAUCUUA